GUUGAAAUUUCUAAUAAUCCCUAUGAGGGAUUGAAAC
rfam:Tolypothrix sp. PCC 7601 strain TTEX B 481 genomic scaffold FDTTEX481_Contig4, whole genome shotgun sequence.